UCGCUGAAGAGAGCGACACCGAGCAGGGUCAGCACUCGUAUUUCCCUUCCGCAAGCCCUUACCGGCCAAGGCUCGUAGUUGCCCCGAGAAGCGGCUCCGCGGCUCGUCACAGGCCCGCCCUGACCCCCGGCGGAGCACGGAGAAGAAGACGAGGAGGAAGAGGCGGAGGGGGAAGAGGAAGCCCUGCCCGCCGAGCGACUUUCGAAUGUCGCGGCCGGCGGGCGACCGCCCCUCAGGAGCGGCCCCUCCCCUGCGCUCCGCCGGCGCCGGAGGAGCUCCCCCGCCCUCAGCGGCCGCCGCCCCCGCGGCCUUCGGGCUGGAAGGCCGAACGCUGAGGCGCUGCUGCUGCCGCCCGCCCCGGCCCGCGGAGCUAAACCGCUCCUGCAAUGCCUCAGGAAAGGCCGAGGGUUCUUCUGAAGGACAUACGUCACCCAAACAUUAGGUUUCUGCAGGUAUACAAGUCUGUGAGUUGCUGUCCUUUCAGGACCACUGGAUUCAAUCUUUCAAGAUCUCCCUGCAUCCAUCUGCCAUGCUGACUGCCCCCGAAGCUGCAGAGCAAUCCAGGAAGCAAAGGAGCUACAGAAGCAAAACAAGGAAUCUCUCCAAGGAAGCCUGGAACAAAUUCAAAAGUGAGGAAAGCAAAUGAAUCAAAGACAUAACAAAGACCUAGACUUCAUGUACCUAACUUAGUUGUAGUGCUGUCUUUGCUGUUAGACUACUGCCAGGGUCUUUGCUUUUCUUUGGCUAAUACUUUGUGGCUUUAUAAAUAAGACUGGUGAAGUUAAGAGGAGUAAGCAACAGAAAUUUCAUUAUGCAGAUUUUCAGAAGUGGGAAAGAGAAGUGGAAACCCCAGUAUGCCCGUGCCUUGCUCUGACACAGACAAGAGGGUGGACUAUGAGUCUUGCAAAUGUGUAUAUUGCAGAUCAUGUUUUUUUAUGAAGAUAAGAGCUUCUGGCCCGCUGCCAUGAAUGUUGCAGUGACCACUUUGACCUGCAGCCCCUCUGUGAAACAACGCAAUUCCUUUAAGGCAAAAAAAAGGCUGCUAGUGUAUUUAUGAGAGCCCAGUUACUCAGAACACCAUUGCCUUUUAAAAAGGAAGAAUGAUCCUGACUUCCAGAAGUGAUUCACUCUCUGCAAUUCCAUCAGGUCUUGCCAUGUAAUAUUACAAGUGAAUUCUGCUAAGCAGCACAUCACAGUUUAAGAAAGUGGGUACCGUUUAUCCUUUAAGGUUAUAGUUACACAGUCUCUCCAAGCAACUUGAGAGACAGGCAAAGUUCAGUAAGGUGAUGCAAAGUUUCACUAAAUAUGAAGGAAACAAUCUGUUUAGUAUCAGUUUAAAGCUAUUUCCAGGACCUUUUCAAAACUUGAAGAUACUAAAAGAAAGUGGAGUGAGUGUUUCUAGGUUAAGAAUAUCUUUACAUCACCCAGGGAGCAGCUGGCAGGGCUAGCUGAUAUAAACUUCUGCUGUGGACUGAUGUAUGCAACUUUCUUAUGACCAUACUGUGUUAUUAUACAAUGAUACUUGAACAUAUUAAAUCAGAUUUGCAAUGGGUACUGUUUUCCUAACAUAAAAACUGUGUUGGUUAAAGUCAGGCAAAGGAUUAAUACUCGCCAAGGUACUUCUCUUAUUAUUUAGAUAUCCUUUCAGUAUAAGCCAUAGCAGCAGGAACACUCCACAUCCCCACACUCACAAGCAGUUUCCCACAUGGCAUGUGUCCCAUGCACACCGUGGGAGCAUAUGGAGUGACAUGUUAAAUGUCUUUUAGUAGCAUAAUUCUAAAAAAGGCCACAUUAUUCAGUCCUGGUCAUGAGUAAGUGCCAUACAUCAUCCUCAAAUUGUAUUAAUACAUUUGCUCCUAUUGUCGUGAUACAGAGUCCUUAUAAAUCACAUUUCUUCAAGCCAUAAAGCAUCUUAUAUUUACUUGCUAACAUGUGUGUGAUCAUACCCAUUUGUUGGCACACCUGAGCUCUCUCCCUAUGGGUAAGGAUUAAACCUUUUCUGUCAUUCUCAAAAGAGUGAAUCUUUUUGCAAUCCCAUCUCCAGAACAGAAUGCGAUUUCUCAGAAAUACACGUAGAAGCUGGCAAUGCUCCUUUUCCUGUAUUGUUUGAUGAUGUCAAAAUCAGUUAAACUUCUGUUUUUUCUGUAUUUUUGCUAUUUUCCACUGAAGAUUCUGUUUCCCAUAAUAUUCAGCUCUAUAAAAAAGAAAAGCCCCAAGGUCAAAUGUUGAGUCUUACUGAUAUUUGUCCCAGGCUAUGCCUAUAUCCCAGAGAUCUGCUCCCUCAGUGCCUGAGGUGGCUCUUGGAUAUUGUACGAAAUGUCUAAAUUCAGGGCAGACUGUAAUUAUUGAAACCAAGGGAAUAGAGAAGAAUUCUUGACUGUAGUACAGUAAAUGCCAAAAAUUGUCUCUUUGCAGAGACUGUCUGAUUCACACUGAAUCAUUGCUCUCAUACUAAAUAAACAGUGAAUGCAUUCUAAAAUCCUGGUUCAAACAAAUCUUUCUUCAGUACUACAAACUAAUUAAAGUUGUGCAGUCCAGAGGGAAAUCUGAUUUCUUUCAUGUUUUCAGGGGAGAGGAGGAAUAGGUUUAAAAUAUAUUCACAAUCAGCCAGUGGUUCAUGAUAAAUUAAGGCAUGAUAAGGUAAAUAAGUGUUAAAGGUCCAACUGCAUAUUGCUGGUAAGUGUCCACUUACCAUAUCCUGGUAAGUGAAGGGAAAGGUCUGAUUCUUUCAUCUAAGUUCUCUAUUUUCAGAAGUUUUCAAUCUAGGAAUAGAUCCCAGCUCUAUACUUAGCAGGGAUACUACUGUUUUUCAGCAAAAUUCUGGAGACUUUUGUAAAGAGAAAGCAGUACAGAGAGAACAGAGCAGCUAGGACACUCUGCAACCUUAUCUAGUAUAUGUUUAAUUUUAAAUCACUUCUUGGCUUGAAAUGGUAGGCUUUGAUUUUGUUUUGCCUAGCAAACAUUCUGAUAAUGGAGUCCUUGAAUAAAACCAAGCAACUUUUACAGUAGUGAGGUAGACUGCUUAAAACUCACAUCUCUCCUUGCUUGUCAGAGACCUCAUUUAGCCAUUAUUUCACACUCACAUGACCCAUCAGUAACAGUCUGUUAGUGAUCCUCACCAGCCUUUCCCUGACAACAUUGGAGAGGAAAACAGAAGCAUUUUUUGCCCUUCUUGUCCUUUCUUUUUUACAUGGGACACUAUCUCUGCCCUCCUGCCUCUCCUUCACUGCAUGAAGUAGGCUGUUCAGCUACUGGAAAUGUUUGGUGUACAUGAAAACACCAUGCUUCAGCCAGAGGGAAAUGGAGCAUGAACAAUUUGGUUUUCAGGGCAGAGGUGUGAAAAAGCAUGUUUCCUCUUGUUCACAAACAGCUAAUAUUGUGCAUUUAUGGGAACUGCACAGUGUGAGGAAUAUGUGUUAGCAUGCUUAGCUAACCCAGAUUUGCAAAAUAGCACAGCAGUUAAGAGUACAGUAUCUGCUUGUCUGCCUAGAACAGGAAAUCAAACUAUUUCAUUUGUUUUCAGCAGGAAUAAAAUAAAGAAAUGACCAGUUUCCCAGACAGCAAUUAACAUAUGCCUACUUUCUGCAACAAAGUAUGUGGUUCAAUUAGUGCAACUGAGAACCUCUGUAGUGAUGUGUAGAUUACAUGCUGGCAUUCCUCUGGCAAAAGGCAAGAACCAACAGAAACAACUGUUCAGAGAUCAGGGUGAUAGGUAGGGUGUCUAGAUUCUAGAUUCUGCUGCAUCCUAGAGCUUAGGAGUGGUAAAGUUUUCUGCUGGAGACAGGGAUGGUGGAAAUGCCUGGUUUUUAAGGACCACUGAGAGGCUGUACUUGCUUUGGUUUGCAAAUGUUCAGAGAACCUCAAGAUGUUAAGAACAAUGGUGCUAAACUGGAAAUUCACAGAGCAUCCAAGUUUUCACUAACAAGUAGUUUAGGCUUCUGCAGCUUGCUUUAAGUUUGGUAGCAGGUACUACAGCUGCUGGCAUGCAGGCUUAUUUCUCUACAAAAACACCGCUUUUUUCAGAUUACUCCUAUGCUCAAGUUUUUCUGAGGUGCGAAAGCAGUCAAUCUCCAUGUAAAAGCAGCUGUCAUAACAGCAUACUUGCUGAGGGCAGCUGCAACAGGUGGAAAUAACCAUACUCCUCAGACCACGGAUAACGUUUGUCUAACAAGAUAUUUUGGCUCCAGAGUUUAAGAUCAACCCACAGCCCUUCCUGCAGUGCUCAGUUCAUCUGUGGCACAGACUCCUAGGAACAGGAUCCAAAGAGAAGUUGGAUCAGUACUUGAAAGACAAAUUCACUGAGAGUUUUUAAAAAGAGAGAAGAAACCUCCUGCUCAGAAAACCUCAUCAGCUAAAAAAGCUUGAGGUCGUGAAAUUUGAAUGAAAUGUCAUAUAUAUUUGCUUCACAUCUACCCUUCCUUCAUGCCUACUCCUGGAAGUUACUUGGCUGGAUGGCCCAUCUAACCUGUGAUGGCUGCUCAUUUGUUCCAAUAACAAAUUUACAUAGGCCUGCUCUGCUCAAGUUCAAGGUCUCUCAAGAUCAAAAUGUGAAAACCAAAGUUCAUUCUCUAGAAUUUUUGAAAGUUUAAUGAGGGAAUAAAAAGGGACAAUGUCCAGCUCUGGGGUGUUUCUGGCUAUUGGCCAAAGAACACACAGGUGGAUAAGACAGUGUUAUCAACGUACUGUUAUGUUACUAAGGUACAUGCAUAUUCAUGUGUUUCAUAAUUAUUCAAACAUUCUUGUGAGCUUUUUGAUGUUUCAGGAACUCUUUUGUUUGGUUUUACACUCUGAUUUAUUUGCAUGACAUCCUAUGAGUUAGGUCAAUAUAUUUUAUUUCUUCUUGUUUUCCAUCCUGUUGUUUCACACUCCCUGAUAAGGAGUUGACAAGUUCUUCUCCAAUUCUUCUCCAGUGCUCUGGUUUGUAUCACUGUUAUCUUAUCACUUGGAAAUAUAAUAUAUUCAUCACAUUACUAUUUCUAUAAGCUAUAAGGUGCAAAACUACUAGAUUGUGUUAUAAUACUAAGCAGCUAAAAGGAGUUAAAAACUGUACCAUAUUCAAAUACUUAUGAUCAAUAACAACAUCUAAAAGCUAUUAAAUAAAUGCAAAAGCCAAUAUUAUAUUGUCAUUUUUAACAGAAACUUCUUUACCAAGUCCAGUGCCAACUGUAUUCAUCUGUGAAAGACCUUGUGGCAUCCAAAAGACAAACCUGCUCCACAAAGCAAGCAUGAUCACAGACAGAACAAAAAAAAGUGUAACACUUCUGAGCCUGACAAAGAUCUUCGAGAAAUACAAGCACAGGCCUGCACAUAGAAGUUGUUACUGCAAGUGAAUUCAAUUUGCUUAGCAUUAACCAUGAGGAAAAAGUUAUUUUUGAUACAAAGAAGGCAUACAGGUGUCCAGAAACAAAUGCUAGACUCAAAACACACUCUUCCCUCAGUCUGUGUUCAGUGUUAAAGGGUACAAUUUCCUGGCUGAGGAAGCACCUCCAAGAGAGAGGCUGACAAUAGUGAUACCGUUUACAACAGCCAUCAGAAUCACAACUAGAGCUGUGUAAAAACAGGAGAGCCAAAGAUUUGUCCCUGAAGUUUUGCAGUUUCUUGAAAUCACUAUACAAGACUCAUAGUGAGACACAUGCAACAAAGCCCAAAACAAGUAGCAUUUUGGUUGAAAAAGAAACCAGUGCAGGAAAAGACCCAAAAUUCCUUCAUGCAGUAUGAGCAAGAAACAUGAAAAUGCACUGCACAUGAAUAAAAUUUGUGAAAUUUAGUUCAAAGGUGGGUGUGGAAGGAGAGAAAAGGAAGGCAAGUAUGAGAGAAAAGGUGUCACAGUUACAUCCUAGCAAAAACAGCACAGAUAAGAACAGCUGAGUGAAUGGACCAAACAGCCUAGCAUGGGUAUAGUUUCUUGUAGGCAAGUAGACUUGCAAACAUUAUUAAUUGGUCUACCAACAAAAGAUGCAGAGGGGAAGCCUUCUUUUAUUAUCCAUCUCUGAUAAAUUUGCUAA